rnacentral:rRNA from 1 species
UACGAAGGGGGCUAGCGUUGCUCGGAAUCACUGGGCGUAAAGCGCACGUAGGCGGCUUCUUAAGUCAGGGGUGAAAUCCUGGAGCUCAACUCCAGAACUGCCUUUGAUACUGAGGAGCUUGAGUCCGGGAGAGGUGAGUGGAAUUCCCAGUGUAGAGGUGAAAUUCGUAGAUAUUCGCAAGAACACCAGUGGCGAAGGCGGCUCACUGGCCCGGUACUGACGCUGAGGUGCGAAAGCGUGGGGAGCAAACAGG